rnacentral:lncRNA from 1 species
UGAUUUCUAAUGACAAGUAAACAAGUCAGAAGCCUCAGAAGACCUCAAGAGAGAAACCUCAGCCUUCAAUUCCUGGUCCCUUUCUGAAACCUCAGCUCUUGAUUCACUUAAUUUCAAGGAGAAUUGUUUUAUGACUACGCCAAGCUGACCCAAAGACCCCUGGGAAGCACGUGGCCCAUCAGAGGGAAGCGCUAGGCCCUGGGGCUGGAAAGGAUGCAGAGCCUGUUUUCAACAAUUACGUCUACAUUUUCCAAGAGAUUAAACCGAUUGGAAGCCAAGCAUUGGAGAAGAGAUCUUUUGUCUUCCUUGGCAACAUUUCUGAAAUCUACAGAUAGGGAUGAGGAAGUGAGGCACAUUUUUCAUCUGUUCCAACAAACUACCAAUGGAAUGGCUGACAUGCCAUUUUAGUGUAUGUCAUCUCUCUCGUGUUCCGUCAUCACUGAGGGUCAACUGGGCCCUGCCCUUGAAUACAGCACAGGGCUGGUGUCAUGGAGCUGGCCUUCCUUACACUAAUGAACCGCAGGAGCCUCCCCUUGUCCCUUGCCUGGGGGGAUCUAAUGGCAUUGCAGGCAAAGGCUCAAAAGGGACCCUGUAGAUGGAGGAUAGAUUGGCACCCAGGCGUCUUACAGGGUGGACCCCAUGCUGGCAGGGUGGGAAGCCAGAGAAAAGAGGCUUGGAAGAAGCAAAGGGAACUCUCAAGAGGGUGCAGAGAUGAACGUGGCUUGCACCUGGCGAAUUCCCAGCCAAUCUGAGCUUGACGCCCCUCUCCUUUCCACCAAUCAGAUGGCACUACCACCUCCUCCUAAUUCCUCUACCAAUGAAAACUAGGUUCCCUUACCUUAUCCACCAAUCAGGGCUUUGGACAAAGAAUAAUCUUAUCAAACCCCACAUGGAUUCACACGCAUCUGGUAGCUUGGUUGUUGGUAAGUCUCUGCAUGGCAAGCUGGGUCUCCAAGUCUUUAUUGUUAUGCUUCUAUCGUUUGGAGGCAGAAGGGGAGAUGGGAGAGCUAAAAGCCCAGGCCCCUUUCUUCCCUGAAAACCCUGAAAAAAGUUUCUGCCUAUGUGAAAAAGAAGGGGUUUAGUGGACAGUCAUCAUAAGCCAACAGUGAUAUGUGGGCGACAUGCUAAUGCCGUGGCUUAGGCUGCACUGAUACACAUUUAUCAAACCAAUACAUUGCCAACGGAAUGGCUGACACGCCGUUUUAAUGUAUGUCAUCUCUGUAUUCGGUGAGCACAGUGAUGUCCUUCAAGGAAGGACUUGUUGCCUUGGCUGCUGCGCUGCCGUGAGCGGGGCUCUGACUAUGGUGAGAUUAGUUGGUGACCUCGCACCCGUCAUACUAGUUGGGCUGUAAUGACUCCUAGAGACAGUCGCUCAAGAUAGCUCUGUGUGUUUGUUUCAUAAAUAAGCUCCAUGGCAAAUUCGCAUUGUUUUUCCCCAAAUAAGCAAUUCUGAAGGCUGGGCCUUCACUGAGAGCUUGCAUCUCUGCAUAAACUGCCUCUGGGCUUUGGGACCUGCUUUAGCUUCCAGGAGCUGCUCUUCAAGACCACAUUCCUCCCGAGAGCAGCCCUGUC